GAUGAACGCUGGCGGCGUGCUUAACACAUGCAAGUCGAACGGAAAGGCCCAAGCUUGCUUGGGUGCUCGAGUGGCGAACGGGUGAGUAACACGUGGGUGAUCUGCCCUGCACUUUGGGAUAAGCCUGGGAAACUGGGUCUAAUACCGGAUAGGACCAUCGUUUAGUGUCGGUGGUGGAAAGUUUUUCGGUGUGGGAUGAGCUCGCGGCCUAUCAGCUUGUUGGUGGGGUAAUGGCCUACCAAGGCGUCGACGGGUAGCCGGCCUGAGAGGGUGUACGGCCACAUUGGGACUGAGGUACGGCCCAGACUCCUACGGGAGGCAGCAGUGGGGAAUAUUGCACAAUGGGCGCAAGCCUGAUGCAGCGACGCCGCGUGGGGGAUGACGGCCUUCGGGUUGUAAACUCCUUUCGCCAAGGACGAAGCGUUUUGUGACGGUACUUGGAGAAGAAGCACCGGCUAACUACGUG
rnacentral:rRNA from 1 species